GACGAACGCUGGCGGCGUGCCUAAUACAUGCAAGUCGAACGCAGUGGGGACGGGUGAGUAACACGUGGGUAACCUCCCAUCAGAGGGGAUAACACUUGGAAACAGGUGCUAAACCGAUACUGAUGGAUGGACCCGCGGUGCAUUAGCUAGUUGGUGAGGUAACGGCUCACCAAGGCCACGAUGCAUAGCCGGCCGCAGAUGGUGAACAGCCACACUGGGACUGGGACACGGCCCAGAUUCCUACGGGAGGCAGCAGUAGGGAAUCUUCGGCAAUGGGCGAAAGUCUGACCGAGCAACGCCGCGGGAGUGAAGAAGGUUUUCGGAUCGUAAAACUCUGUUGUGAGAGAAGCGGUAUCUAACCAGAAAGCCACGGCUAACUCCGUGCCAGCAGCCGCGGUAAUUC
rnacentral:rRNA from 1 species